UUGUAAUGAUGUUGAUCAAAUGUCUGACCUGAAAUGAGCAUGUAGAUAUAUUUAAUACUGAAGAA